rnacentral:ncRNA from 1 species
CUCUGCACUGAACCUUUACCAAACGAUUGUGUACCCACAAUAACUGCACGUUUGUGAUCUUGUAAGGCUCCAGCAACAAUUUCUGAGGCCGAAGCUGAGCCGCCGUUAAUUAAAACGAUAAGAGGUGUAUUUUCUGCAACGGUUUUUUCUGUAGCCGAAAAGCGAAAAUCCGAUUCACUGAUGCGACCUUCGGUGUAAACAAUUAGUCCUGAACUUAAAAAAGCAUCUGAAACUUCUGCGGCAGCAUCGAGCACGCCACCCGGGUUAUUGCGUAA